UUUUUCUUUUUUUUUUAAGAUUUUAUUUAUUUUUUCAUGAGAGACAGAGAGAGAAAGAGAGGCAGAGACACAGGCAGAGGGAGAAGCAGGCUUCAUGCAGGGAGCCCGAUGUGGGACUUGAUCCCGGGUCCCCAGGAUCAUGCCGGGGGCUGAAGGCGGCGUUAAACUGCUGAGCCACCCAGGCCACCCAAGACUAAGCUUUUUUUAAAGGGAUAUGUGAACUGCAGAAAUAGCCGAGAUGUCCACCAACAGAUGAAUGGAUAAAGAAGAUGUGGUGUAUAUAUACAUAUACAAUGGAAUAUUACUCAGCCAUCAGAAAGGAUAAAUACCAUUUACACUGAUGUGGAUAGAACUGGAGGGUAUUAUGCUGAGUGAAAUAAGUCAGUCAAAGAAAGACAACUGUGUGGUUUCACUCAUAUGUAGAAUAUAAGAAAGAGUACCAAGGAUCAUAUGGAAGGGAAGGAAAACUGAAUGGGAAGAAAUCAGAGAGGGAGACAAACUAUGAGAAUCUCUUAGCCAUAGGAAACAAACUGAGGGGUUGCUGGAGGGGAGGUGGGGGAGGAGAUAGAGUAAAUGGGUGAUGGGCAUCUGAAACUAAGUUUGUACUAUAUGUUGGCUAAUUGAAUUUAAAUGUAAAAAAAUAAAGGGAAAUGUGAGGCUGACAUAUCUGAAGCAACUGUGAAGGAGGGGGUUACGAGAUACAGGAAACCUACCAGAUGGUCAGAAUUUAUUUAAUAUUGAGCUAAUUUAAUCAUGGUUCCCAUCCCCUAAAGAAUUGGUGAAAAACAGGUAGUCAGACCAACUCAGUCUAAGAACAGCUUUCUUCAAGAACGGACAAUCCAGCAGUUUAUGUUUCCUUUGACAAAAAUAAUUGAUUUCAAUUUUGUAUACCUUUUUGUUCAUUUUGUGUAUGUAUGUAUUAUUAUUAUUAUAUUAUUAUUAUUAUUAUUAUUAUUAUUUUAAAGUAGGCUCCAUGCCCAACAUGGGGUUUGAACUCACAAGCCUUGAGAGUAAGAGUUGCAUCUCUACCGACUGAUCCAGGCCCCUGGAUCACUUUAAAAGGCAAUUUUCCUGUGAAAAUUUACCAAAAAAAUGCAAAAUUUAUGAAUUUUAGAGUGUCCAAGGGAGAAUAGUGGUGGCAGGGAUUAAGAGACUACAACCGUCUAGCUAUUGGCCAUGAUCAGAAAUGUGAAUGUCCCCUUAUAAGUGGUCUCUACAAGGAUAUUGGCUAUAAAGGUAUUGUAAGCAGUAGUACCUUGCAUUUAUGGAUUCUUUAUAUAGAUAUAUGUUAUUAUUUCUGAUGGUAAGCAAAAUUUCAUUUAUUUUGAAAUGAGGAUAUGGAAGCUCAGUGUGAUUAAGUGACUUGCUCAAGGUAACAAAAGACCAAAGGAGAGAAGUUGGAUUCUAACUUUUAGUUCAAUGUCUUUUGCAUUUGGCCACCAUCUGAGCAGUACUUGCAUACACUCUAUGUCUAACACAGGCAUAUCUCAGAGAUAUUAUGGCUUCAGCUUCAGAUCAUCACAACAAAGAGUGUCAAAUGAAUUUUUUGGUUUUCCAGUGCAUGUAAAAGUUAGGUUUACACUAUUCUGUAGUCUAUUAAGAGUGCAGUAGCAUUAUGUCUAAAAAGAAGUAUAUACCUUCAUUAAAACACUUUAUUGCUAGCAAAUGCUAACCCACAUCUGAACUUUCAGUGAGUUGUAAUCACUGAUCACCAUAACAAACAAGAUAAUAAUGGAAAAGUUUGAAAUAUCGAGAGAAUCAUCAAAAUGUGACAGAGAUAAGAAAUGAGAAACGCUGUUGGAAAAAUGGUGCUGACAGAUUUGUUGAGGCAGGGUUGCUACAACUGCUCAAUUUGCAAAAAGUACAGAAGCGUAGUAAUGCACAGCCCAGUAAAAAACAAGGUAUGCCUAUAAUGCUGUACAAACAAUUACCAAGGAACUUUGGAGUCAUUUUAGCACUGUGCUUAUAAUUUUUUUAAAUUUACUUUCUUCCCCACUCCUUGCAGAAAAGAUAUAAUAGAGGUCAAAGAAGGGGCAUUCUCCGGUCCGAGAGAAUCCGGAAUUAAUAGGGUGUAAAUAAGGGAUUAGUCUUUAAGAGUUCCUCCCAGAAGCAAGUGAAUCUCAUCUUCUGCAUGUAAUCCCAGUAAUGUUAGAUUUUAAUGAUAUAAAAGUGUUAGAAAUGGUUACGAGAGGACAAUGGCCAGGGCAGUUCUAAAUGGCCCACUUGAAACACUGGAAAUGAGAAUGAAAAGAAUGUUGUCAGCCCUGCCCAAGGGAGACGCCAGCAGAGGAGCUCAAGUCUCUGAUAACCCAGAAGAUUUGCUGAUGAGUGGAACAGAAAUAAUCUUUCACAAAGUUUUGUGAUCACCCAACUCCUAUGACUGCUCUAACCCACCUGCUUCUACGUGCCCUCAAACCAGGCUGAAAACAUCUGGCAAAUACCAGCUUGCCGUCAGGUGCUUUUGCACUGAGAAGGUACCAUUGGCAACAACAGAAAUAUCUAGACAUUGUAAAAGGUUUUUUCCCACACACACUGACUUAGUACAGAUUCAUUCAACAAGCAUUGAUUGAGUCACAGUGCUCAGUACUCAGGAAUCAAAAAUGAUAAAGAUAGCCUUGCCCUUUAUGAGCUCAGAAUCUAAUUGGCUUUCUGGUGCAAAUUAGUUUUAUGUGAAUUGAAAGGGCAGGAAUCAAUUAUGCGAAGGCCUAAAACCUCCUGGGUGAGUAAAUCACAGGGAUCCAGAUGGAAAAACUGAGAAAUCUCUAAGAAGUUCCAAGGUGAGAGCAAGUCUAGCACCCCAGCCGAAAGAAACCAGCACUGAGUCAAACCCACAUCAGCACUGGUACAUUUUCUCAAUAUUUCACCAAUGUCCUUUCAGCAGGCAUAGUUAGGGAUCUUCAGUUUAGCACCAGAGAAUCUACUGCUGGGAAGGGACAUCUAGACAAUACUCUUUAGUCUUUCCUCUUGUAUUUAUCUCCCUUUGUGAGUUCCCGACUCUGAGUGCUACUCCCCGGCAUGUGACCCCUACCGCCUAUCCCCUUAGAGUCUUGAAACAAAUACAAACCAGUUGGUCUUGUUCAUUCGUUUCGGCUGAAAGUAGCCUGACACUUUGAGAAGUUUUUCUGCUAAAUAUUCAAGAACAGAAGGGCAAUGAGGAGAAUAUUACAUCUACAGGCAAGCUAAUUAGGAAAAAUUUUCCAACCCAUCAAAGCGAGUUAGCUUACAGGGCUAUCUUGUUCUCUAUGGGAUUCCCUGAAAAAGGGGGCAGCUACCCUCUAGAUCCCAAGGACUCAAGGAACCCCACCAGCAGGGCAGGCUAUUGUCCCCUUUCUAGCCCCAGCUGGCCCCCACAUGGCAAGCUUCAGAAUGCUGUCCCCACCCAGCACUGUUAACCAAAGACACAAGGGACAUUUCAAUUUCUGGCUGGGAGUCUGACCCGUCGUUGAUACCAGGAAGAAAACCAUGCUCAGGAUGAAUUUUCCUUGGCAUGGGGUCAGCUGAAGCCUGACAUCUUACUACAACAUUAUAUCCACACAGCACUCACAGGACAGAGUUCCAUGUGCGAAGUCGGCCCCUCACUCAUUCCCGUUGACUCAGAUCCCCCUUCCUGCAAAUGUAGAGGAGGGAAGGCCAAGACAAUCAGAGGCCAGAAAAGUUACAGAAGGAGCAGGGAAAUCUCCUGCAUUUGUUGG
rnacentral:lncRNA from 1 species